UACGUAGGGGGCAAGCGUUGUCCGGAUUUAUUGGGCGUAAAGAGCGUGUAGGCGGCUUUACAGGUCCGUUGUGAAAACUCGAGGCUCAACCUCGAGACGCCGGUGGAAACCGUAAAGCUAGAGUCCGGAAGGAGGAGAGUGGAAUUCCUGGUGUAGCGGUGAAAUGCGCAGAUAUCAGGAAGAACACCCGUGGCGAAGGCGGCUCUCUGGGACGGUACUGACGCUGAGACGCGAAAGCGUGGGGAGCGAACAGG
rnacentral:rRNA from 1 species